AGACCGUGAUGUGGGCAUAUCUGUAUCAAAAUUUUAAAGCAUUCCUAAGCUUCAUGAAAGCUUUCUCCUUUUAACUGUUUGAAUGUGGUGAUCACUCUUCUUAGUUG
rnacentral:snoRNA from 1 species